UACUUCUAUUUGUGGGUAAUUUAGGAAAAAAUGCUCUUUGGUCACUGUAAAUAUGAAUCGUGACCCCAUCCCUUCCCGCAUGAGCCCAGUGAGUCCCAGCAGCUCUAAGCCUCCCUGGAUGAUUAAACAACUCCCAGCCUUUGCCCUUCCGUCUCUUCGAGGCUGGGGACCCCCGGGGCUGGGGGAGCACAGCUGGCCUUGGACUUGCUUCAGAACGGGAAUUCUUCGGGAACUGGGCUUGGAGGCUCUGCUGGCGUGUCGGCCCGGCCCCAGUCCCCCUGCCAGCAACACCACUGCCCUCGGACGAGACUCGGUGGAAGACACUUUCCCCUCAGACCCGUACCUAGGAUGUGCAGGGGCCAGCAAUACACCGCAGAAGGGGCCUUGGCUCUGACCCUGUGGCAGUGACCUUGGGGUCCGUACUGUGCCCACGCGUCACCAGGAAACAAGGCCUUGCUCACGGGAGCAGAGGCUGUGCUACCACGAGGGGCCUCAGAGCAGCCAGGAGGGAAGGGGGAGAGCGGCGCUGGCUGUCGGAGUCGGAGGCCCGGCCCCCAGCACAGCCGCCUCUCACCACACCAUGCUGUCCCCACUCAGAGGGAAACCUCUUUCCUUUCGUGUCGAGGGAAGAGGCUUAAUUGACUCCCAGUUCCACGUGGCUGGGGAGGCUUCAGGAAACUUGAGAACCUCUUCACAAGGAGGCGGGGGAGAGAAGUCAAGCUGGGGGAGAGCCGGGGGAGAGAAGUCGGGGCUGUGGCCGGGCGCCUGUGUUCCAGCCGGCAGGGAGGCCGGAGCCUGCUCAUCGCCUGCCUGUGGGCUGUGGACCUGCCGGGGAAACAGUCUGUAUUUUUCAAGUUAAGAAGUACUGAAAAUCCCAAGGAGCAUGGAAGAAUCUUAAAACGAAGUCCAGUCUUCAGCUCAAAGUUGCCUCUCGGGCUCCUCCUGGUCCCACAGGCCGAGCCUGGCUGCCGAGAACCGAGCACGGUUUGAGGCUGUGACCCACGGCGCGCUGCCCAGAUGGAGGCAGCAAGGGAGGUCCCUCUAGGCUUGGGGACGAGGGACGCAGGUCAUCACAUGUUCUACAGCCCCAAAGAGCUCGGAGCUCAGGAAUCACUCACGUGUCCCGCAGCAGCGCGGCCCCCAGCCUGGCUGCCGCCGCCAUCAGCCACCUUCCCUGCCGAAGUCCAACUCGAGCCGGAGAGAGUGGAGCCUCUGCACCCGGUGGAUAGGUCACUGUCCACUAACGAGCCAUGCCCGGGGCCACACUGCCCCUCCUCUAGUCACGGUCCUCGCAGCCCUGGUUUCUGGAAAGAGGCCUCCCUCCCUCCCUCUGUCAGGCCAUCAGUCGUCCCCAAGAGGAGAGAGGAGCGUCCUUCUGAAAGAUCCUGAGCAGCAGCUCCUCAGGGGAUGCCAGCAGGAUUGUCACCUCUUCAUGAGUGUUCUCCAAAGAAACACAACCCAGGAGACCGAGGUGUGGACAUGUGAGGGGCUGCAUUACAGGAACUGGCUCACGGAUUUCCAGAGACCAAGAAGUUCCAGCAUCUGCCACCUGCCAGCUGGGGCCCAGGCAGAGCCACACCCUAACUCGGCCUGAGUUCAAGGCCUGAGAAGCCAGGGGCCACCUGUGAGUCCCAGCAUCCAGCGCCCGAGAACCAGGACGAUGGCCGUCCCAGCUCCGAGACAGAGGAUUCUCCCUUCCUCCACCUUCUGUCCUGUCUGGGCCCUCAACUGACUGGAUGGAGCGGACGUUUCACUCAGAUGCUAACCUCGUCUGGAAACGCUCUCACGUUCUCCCAGCUAGCUGGGUCUCCCUUCACCCAGCCAAGACCACCAUGAAAUCAACCAUCACGCCUGAGGGUUUUUAAAUCCGUUCCAAAAACAGAAAGAACUCUUCACCUCUCUGAGCUCCUUUCUGCAGUUCCUUUGGGUGGUUUCUGAAAGUUGCCACCCACACCCCCACAGAUCCACUGCCCACCGCCCCUCCCGUCAUGUUCCACGACGCGCCCCCGUGGUCAGACCCUGCCCAGCAUGCCCGGGGCAGGUUGGCCGGGCAGGUGCAGAUGCAGCCCAGCCUGGCAAGCCUCGCUGUAGCCCCCAGCCGUGAGAGCCCAUGAGGAGUUGCGAGGGCACCAGCAGCCCCUCUGGGCCUCCCACACCAUCUGGGUGACCUGAGGUCCAGGGCUGGACACUGUCUUGAGCCGCCACAUUGGCCUCACGCUGGGGAACGUGGGGGUCCCCCCGUUCAACUAGAGCCGACAGAGCAGGACGGUCCCAAGGAGAGCUCCGUGGGCAGCAAAACGCAUUUCUUCCGGUUGGCGCGCCGUCAAAGCCAACGGCAGCUUCACCGACGUGAGGUGGCCGUCCCGCCUGGCCCACGGCGGAGGCGUAGAGAAGCGAAGUGGGGAGCGAGGACGGGGCCAGGCACGAAGGACAGCUUCCGCCUUCCCUACCAGGCAGACAGGACACUCUCCGUGCCAGCGUGAGCAGACACAGCCAGAGGCUCAAGUGCCCUUGUGAGUGCCCCGCUGCUCUUGGGGAGGCCCCGGCACAGCCCACAGAGAUGCGAGUGAGAGGGCGCCCGGUGCCCUCGGCAGACAGCUGGCGGGAAGCAGAGCGAGGCACAGGGAGCUGACGGAUGCUGGGUGUCUUGUUCCGCUGAGGUCAGAACCGCCAACAGGCCGAGCAGACCCAGGCCACGUUGCUCGGGGAACAGGACCCCAGGGCGCUGGACCGUCCAGGCCCUUGGCAGUGACUCUGUCUGCAAGAGUGACGAAUGCCAACAUAACCAAUCUUCCUUUCAGCGGCCGCAACUAAUCAGUUUUGUUUUAUCCGCCAUGUCCCCCAUAUGCAUGUAAGGAAACACUUGUGAAAAUCACUUUAAUAAUAAACAGGAAAUGGACCUAAA